CCGAGUUUACAACUCCCAAACCCCUAUGAACAUACCUAUAUGUUGCCUCGGCGGAUCAGCCGCUCCCGUAAAACGGGACGGCCCGCCAGAGGACCCCUAAACUCUGUUUUAUAUGCAACUUCUGAGUAACAAACCAUAAUAAAUCA
rnacentral:misc_RNA from 1 species